UUAAACUAAUGGAAGUUCAAUGGAAGCUACCUGCAUGUAGAAUCUGCAACUCUACUAGUCUUCUUCUUUGAAGUUUCUGGCUUUGCCCCUAGAAAUUCUCAAGGAGAAAAGGGGUUUUGGUUUACUAUAUAUACUUAUAUAUGUGUGUGUGUGUGUGUGUUUCUAAUCUGGCUUUGUUUAACUCCUCAAAAGCUUGCCCUUGUUUCUAUGAAUCAGAGCUGGUAUGUCCACUAAUACUAAAACCCUAAGUAGCAAUUAUUCCGGCGAAGACGAUAGUGAGCUUAGGAGAGGGCAAUGGAUUCUUGAAGAAGACAGUCUUCUUAUUCAGUACAUAGAGCGCCAUGGCGAAGGCCAGUGGAACUUGCUUGCCAAACGUUCAGGAUUAAGGAGAACUGGCAAAAGUUGCAGAUUGAGAUGGUUGAAUUAUCUGAAACCCGACGUUAAGCGAGGCAAUCUUAGUCCUGAAGAACAGCUCUUGAUUCUUGACCUCCACUCAAAAAUGGGCAAUAGGUGGUCGAAAAUCGCACGGUAUUUACCGGGAAGAACAGACAAUGAAAUCAAGAACUAUUGGAGAACAAGGUACACAAACAAGCCCGGCAUCUCAACAUCGACACGAAAAGCAGGGAGUUUCAAAAUAUGAUAAGGUGCUAUUGGAUGCCUAGGUUGAAGCAGAAGAUAGGACGAGAAACCUCGAUUUCUUCAGCUGUGUUAAACCAAAAUCCUACGAUUUCUCAGCCUCGAGAAAACAACACUUUCCAACAUUUUACGGCAACAAUAUCCCCGCCACCACAAAUCCUUGUGCAGGAAGAAAUUAAUAUGAGUGGAACAAUGUACAAUUUGGAUGUCGAAAAGCAAAACACAGAGGCAGAUUACUGCAGAAGUUCGUUCAUUUUCCCCUCAGAACCAAUGGACAUGUCGAAGACUGCGCAAUUUCCGGAAUGCCCUCCUUUCUAUUGUGGUGACAACAAUGGCUACGACAUGGAAUCCUUCAAUCUGCAGGAAUCUGUGUCAGCAGACUCAGCACCAAAUUUCCCUGGAAAUUCCGCCGGCGAUUGCUACGUGGCAGAAAACAACUGGUUUGACAGUGAUUUUUUCAUGUAGCAUGUGGAACAUGGAUGAAAUGUGGCAAAAUAGGAAGUUGUGACUCAUACAAAUUAGUUUAUAGAUCAUUUCAUCAAGUGUUAAGCAGCUAAUUUUCUACCCAACACACAAAAUUGUGCAAGUUGUUGAUAUGAAUUUUUUUUAAUGCAAAUACUGUUAGUACUGAAAAUGGUAUGGUUAUGAGACGAGCACUAAGGCUCCGAGUUCACUUUGUCUUCGGGUGCAGUUUCAUAUAUUUUUACAGCUUCAACCUACUUGGUUCUUGAAUAAAAAUAAAAUAAAAUAUAUCUGCCUCUGGCC